rnacentral:rRNA from 1 species
CGGGGUGAGUAAUGCUUGGGAAUCUAGCUUAUGGAGGGGGAUAACUAUGGGAAACCGUAGCUAAUACCGCGUAGAAUCGGGAGAUGAAAGUGUGGGACCUUCGGGCCACAUGCCAUAGGAUGAGCCCAAGUGGGAUUAGGUAGUUGGUGAGGUAAAGGCUCACCAAGCCGACGAUCUCUAGCUGGUCUGAGAGGAUGACCAGCCACACUGGGACUGAGACACGGCCCAG